GUUGAGUCCUUUUGAUGACAGCAUGAGUUCUGAGAACAAAGCUUCCAGCCUGUGUAAUGAGAGCUCAGAGCCUGAAAUAGCUGCUCUUCGCAUGCAAACACAGGGCCUGAGCCGAAGCUUUGACAGCGUGUUUUUGUCAUUUGUAAAACUCAGAGGGUUCCUCCAAGACCACAGAACAGCAGGGGCUGGCUGAGCGUGCAGGACCUGCUGGGUGCGGUGGCGACAGAGCUGAGCUGCCUGGAGGUCAGCACCGACGAGAGACGACCGGCCUGGACAGACAGGUGCGGGAGGCCUAUAAGUCGGCAGAGGCAACAGCGGAGGUGUGUCUUUCAUGAAGGCAAGCCCUCCACCCGGCCUUGCGUCCAGUUGGCCUCUUGUCGGAUCCCCUUUAGAAGUCAACCAGUUGUCCGGCCGUCCAGCCCAGGCUAUCCUCAUGUUCAUGUAUGAACCUGCUUCUGAACUCUGCAGCCCAGAGAAGACUCGGCAAAGCUGGGGGGCCACUGUGCCUGCAGGCUCCCCUGCUGGGGGGCCACCCCUCAGCCCACCUAAGGAGUUCCACACAGGGCAUGGUCCAGUCUUUGUGUCAGCCAGCCUUCACCAGUACCCCUCAUCCCUCCCACCAUGCGGAUCAUCAGAAUCAAAGCCCAGGGUCGGGCUGGAAUCCUGUACUUCCCUUUUCCCCCAAAAUAUCUACCUUGAAAGAAUUUUUGCAAAUCAAAUCAUAAGCGCAUUAGAGUUAAUUAUAUACUAUUAAAUUCACUGCUGUGGCAAAGCCUUGGAAAAUGAAGAAUCUUUUUCUAAUUAAAAUAAACAAAUUUCAGUUCAC
rnacentral:lncRNA from 1 species